rnacentral:rRNA from 1 species
UACAGAGGGUGCAAGCGUUAAUCGGAAUUACUGGGCGUAAAGCGUGCGUAGACGGUUACAUAAGUCAGAUGUGAAAGCCCCGGGCUCAACCUGGGAAUUGCAUUUGAGACUGUGUAGCUAGGGUGCGGAAGAGGGAAGCGGAAUUUCCGGUGUAGCGGUGAAAUGCGUAGAGAUGCGGAGGAACACCAGUGGCGAAAGCGACUUUCUGGUCCUUAACUGACGCUGAGGCGCGAAAGCAUGGGGAGCGAACGGG